rnacentral:rRNA from 1 species
UACGUAGGGGGCAAGCGUUGUCCGGAAUCAUUGGGCGUAAAGAGCUCGUAGGCGGUCUGUCGCGUCGGAUGUGAAAGCCCGGGGCUUAACCCCGGGUCUGCAUUCGAUACGGGCAGACUAGAGUGUGGUAGGGGAGAUCGGAAUUCCUGGUGUAGCGGUGAAAUGCGCAGAUAUCAGGAGGAACACCGGUGGCGAAGGCGGAUCUCUGGGCCAUUACUGACGCUGAGGAGCGAAAGCGUGGGGAGCGAACAGG